rnacentral:lncRNA from 1 species
CUAGAUUUUAAAGUAGGUUAUUUUUUUACACGUUCUUUAUUAUUUUCAUAAUAACAAAAGGAUAAACAUGAUUUCUGUAUAUGGCAGUUAUGUUAUUUGUUCUUUAUCACCGGGUUUGUUUUAGCAUGGUUAAAACGACGGGUGCCACAUGUGAAGCACGAAUUGCUAACCUGGGCACAAGAGAUUCCACUAGUGUAGGUUUAGAAUAUGACUUAGGCCGUGUUCACAUUGACCUAAACUCAGUGUUGUGUUAGUGUAACUCACACGUAAACUAAACAUAAUUACGUUCCCAUCGAUAAAACUCAAUGUUUACAUGUAGUUUAAAUCAUGUUUUGUCUACAUGCAGUCGAUAGUCGAUGCAGGCCUUGUGUAGGUUAAGUGUACACAAAACUAGGCAUUCAGAACUUCAAUUUUCCCAUGUAUAUUUAAAAAAGAAACGAUUUUUAUAUAAAAUUGAUACUUAUUACACUAAUUAAUAAAGUUCUUUACAGAAAUAUUUGUCUAAACUUGAUAUAUUUAUUUGUUAUAAAAACACUUUACGUAGCCUUAUUAGCCCACUUAUCAAGACAGACAAGACUCAUCCAUCAUCAUUGCCGAACACAUAAUUCAUUUGAAAAGGUCUUCCCGAAUCGACUGAACGUACACACUGACAGAAAUAUUUGCCACUGGUCUUUACUCACACAACGAUUUACUCAUAAAUGCAUUACUGAAAAAGGGCGAGGUUAAUUGUUUGUGUGUGUAGUAUCUCAGAUUCGUUAAAAUACAGUUAGAAAUAAUAAUAAAAAAAAACCAAUUGUUCUACAUCUGUAAGCACGCUGAUGCAGCCUACGUUUUUACUGCGUAAUCGAGACAUCUUUAAACUACUGCAAAUCAUACAAAAUGACUUUCUUAAAGGACCAAC